rnacentral:rRNA from 1 species
AUGGAUCCUACAGAGCCUCGUUGGCGGAUGAAUUCGAGCUUCUCUCCUCCGUCGUGGGGAUGGGACUGCAUGUACUCAUCAGACGGAUUGCCUCAUAGGACUCCUGAUGCUCCACACGAUCAUCCACCUUAUGUGUCAUCACUAUCAUCACAUAGUAAAGGAAGUAGAAGUGCAUUUGGCAGUGACCAGUACCUGAAUCACCACCACUCUGUAUCUGAUGGAGCACUUUCUUAUUUUGGUAGUCCUGUUGACAGCCUUCAGGCUCCACGCUGGACACCCUCUCUGCAAAGAUUUGAUCUUGGCGAGUUCUCUACACCUGGAGGAGGACCGAAGCCUGAAAGUUCCGAUCUCCAAUCCAGCGAGAGACAUUUAACUGCUGUGAGCAGUUUCAGUUCUGCAUCCCCAUUCUCAGAAACAAGUCAGCUGGCAUCUUCUGGUAAACGACCAGCUUCACAUCUACCUCGCAAUCAUCUGGGAAGGCGAUCCUUUAUGUCAACACCAGUCUACCCGCUAGUGUUCCGCAAUCCAGCGUCAGAAGCAGAAGCCUCGGGGGUGGCUGAGGCUAGUAAUGCUGGGCGUACCACACCGAGUGAUGACAGCCUGGCUUCUCCUGUGUGGAGGCGCAGUUUGGCGAGUCCUGAGCUCAAGUUCCAUGACACACUGAGUGAACUUCGGAAGAUGGAGGCUUCUCCUGAGCCGAACACGAGCUCUAGGAGGGAAGGAUUCAGAUGGAGCAGUGCUAGCAGCUAUGAUUUUGGAUAUGAUGGUGAUGCCAUUGACAUUUCAGACCAUAUCAGCAUUGACUCCCAAAGAUCCCCAACAAGUUCAACGAGUUUCCUGAAAUGUGGCUUAUGCGAGAGAUUCCUCAGGCAGAAGUCGCCAUGGAGCUCAAACCGGAUAGUUCGAAAUACCAAUAUGCCAGUAGCAGCAGUCCUCCCAUGCCGACACGUCUUCCACGCAGACUGCCUGGAGGAAAGUACUCCGAAGAGCGAAGCCCAUGAACCACCUUGCCCGCUUUGCACGCGAGCUCCCGACAGUGAAGGAUGUGUAUCAUUCUCGGAGCCUCUUCACGCUGCGCUCAGAUCCGCCCGCAGGAAUCAUGGCAUUCGCUUUUCUUCUGGUGAUGCGGGUGGUAGCAGCAGCAGCGCAAACCCUUCUCGUAGCGACCAUGUGCUGAAGAGAAAUCAGUCUGCGCUGGCGCCAGCGCGCAGCGGCUCGCUGUUCCGGAACCGUUUCAAGAAGCAGUUCCCCUUCAAGGGGAGGCUCGGGAAGGACCUGUUUGGUGGCAGGGUUUUCAGGAAGGUCGGCUCCUCGUCGUCGUCGGGGGGCCAAAAGGACGACCGUCAGCCGCCAGCAGCUAAUAAGCCUGACCGAUCCAUGGAGUAA